rnacentral:rRNA from 1 species
CCCUUAGAUGUUCUGGGCCGCACGCGUGCUACACUGAGUGGAUCAGCGGGUCAGGUUGCGCGAAAGCGUUUCCUAAUCUUUAAAUCCGCUCGUGAUGGGGAUUGACAGUUGCAAUUUUCUGUCAUGAACGAGGAAUACCUUGUAAGCGCGGGUCAUCAUCCCGCGCUGAAUACGUCCCUGCCCUUUGUACACACCGCCCGUCGCUCCUACCGAUUGAGUGGUCCGGUGAGGCUUUGGGAUCUGAGCGGAAAGAGCGUUUCGCUGUUUCUGCCCGGAAAACUCAGUCGAACCUUAUCAUUUAGAGGAAGGAGAAGUCGUAACA